CCAGUGGCGAAGGCGGCUGUUUAGUCUGUAACUGACGCUGAGGCUCGAAAGCAUGGGUAGCGAACAGGAUUAGAUACCCUGGUAGUCCAUGCCGUAAACGAUGAGUGCUAAGUGUUGGAGGGUUUCCCCCUUCAGUGCUGCAGCUAACGCAUUAAGCACUCCGCCUGGGGAGUACGACCGCAAGGUUGAAACUCAAAGGAAUUGACGGGGGCCCGCACAAGCGGUGGAGCAUGUGGUUUAAUUCGAAGCUACGCGAAGAACCUUACCAGGUCUUGACAUCUUCUGCCAAUCUUAGAGAUAAGACGUUCCCUUCGGGGACAGAAUGACAGGUGGUGCAUGGUUGUCGUCAGCUCGUGUCGUGAGAUGUUGGGUUAAGUCCCGCAACGAGCGCAACCCUUAUUAUCAGUUGCCAGCAUUCAGUUGGGCACUCUGGUGAGACUGCCGGUGACAAACCGGAGGAAGGUGGGGAUGACGUCAAAUCAUCAUGCCCCUUAUGACCUGGGCUACACACGUGCUACAAUGGACGGUACAACGAGUCGCGAAGUCGUGAGGCUAAGCUAAUCUCUUAAAGCCGUUCUCAGUUCGGAUUGUAGGCUGCAACUCGCCUACAUGAAGUUGGAAUCGCUAGUAAUCGCGGAUCAGCAUGCCGCGGUGAAUACGUUCCCGGGCCUUGUACACACCGCCCGUCACACCAUGAGAGUUUGUAACACCCAAAGCCGGUGAGAUAACCUUCGGGAGUCAGCCGUCUAAGGUGGGACAGAUGAUUAGGGUGAAGUCGUAGCA
rnacentral:rRNA from 1 species